GCCAUGACACCCAAGAAGUGAUGUGGUUUGUGUAUUGUUUCUUCUCUUUUGUUUUUGGUUUCUACUGUAGUGAAAAUCCUGAACAGAGCAUCUGCAUUUUGGUUUCUUGUCCCAGGCGAUACAUGACAGGAAAAAGGAACCUGUAGAAGAACAAUGCCCAAUGAGCCUAAUGUGAAUUUAGACGUUUGGCAGUGCAUAGAUACU